AUUAGUUUAGGUUAUUUAAACCAUUGCUUUUCAAAAGCAAAAAUAUACUAAUU
rnacentral:tRNA from 1 species